GCGUCUCUGCGUUUCAAACAAACGUUUACUCGAGUAAACGCUGCACUAAGCUUCGUUUCAAACCGUUCUUCUACCACCCGCAUCGACGCCCGUUUGAACGGGGCCAACGCCUUGCGCCCCACUGCUGCUUCGCAUCCCAUCAGAAUUCCCUUUGGGGAUAUGGUUCAUAGUUUUCUUUUUUGUUUCUUCUUUCCAGGAGCUAUGAUUAUGAGUAUGUGGAUUACACACCAAUAUGGAAAAAUAACAAGAAAGUUAGAGGGUUCACGUCUUUUAAUAAGAGCACUGGUGAAAAUACAACGUAUACGCUUCACCACGUAUAUAAGGAUUGCGCUAUUGUAAACAAGACAAGGAAUACAAAGAGAGAAGGUUACAAGCAAGUAUGUGAAGUGUGGUUGAGCGAUCAGUUCUUUGACAAAAACACCGACGGCCUCAGAUAUUGCACCACAAAUUUCUGGAAGUACUGCAAACCCCAUACCCCGAAACAAUACUUUAUUUUCGAGUGUGACGAAAAAAUUGGCAAAGUUAUUUUAGUCUAGUGAGCAAGGUCACGAACUUAUAGUAAAUAAUAUGAGUAAGUCUUUUUGUGAGCAAUAUCUCAAUAAAACAUUAUGAAGCGUUGA